rnacentral:rRNA from 1 species
GACGAACGCUGGCGGCGUGCCUAAUACAUGCAAGUAGAACGCACAGUUUAUACCGUAGCUUGCUACACAAUAAACUGUGAGUUGCGAACGGGUGAGUAACGCGUAGGUAACCUGCCUGGUAGCGGGGGAUAACUAUUGGAAACGAUAGCUAAUACCGCAUAAUAUUGAUUAUUGCAUGAUAAUUGAUUGAAAGAUGCUAUUGCAUCACUACCAGAUGGACCUGCGUUGUAUUAGCUAGUAGGUGAGGUAACGGCUCACCUAGGCGACGAUACAUAGCCGACCUGAGAGGGUGAUCGGCCACACUGGGACUGAGACACGGCCCAGACUCCUACGGGAGGCAGCAGUAGGGAAUCUUCGGCAAUGGACGAAAGUCUGACCGAGCAACGCCGCGUGAGUGAAGAAGGUUUUCGGAUCGUAAAGCUCUGUUGUAAGAGAAGAACGGGUGUGAGAGUGGAAAGUUCACACUGUGACGGUAUCUUACCAGAAAGGGACGGCUAACUACGUG